rnacentral:rRNA from 1 species
UGGGGAAUUUUGGACAAUGGGCGAAAGCCUGAUCCAGCAAUGCCGCGUGUGUGAAGAAGGCCUUCGGGUUGUAAAGCACUUUUGUCCGGAAAGAAAUCCUCUGGGUUAAUACCUCGGGGGGAUGACGGUACCGGAAGAAUAAGCACCGGCUAACUACGUGCCAGCAGCCGCGGUAAUACGUAGGGUGCAAGCGUUAAUCGGAAUUACUGGGCGUAAAGCGUGCGCAGGCGGUUUUGUAAGACGGAUGUGAAAUCCCCGGGCUUAACCUGGGAACUGCAUUCGUGACUGCAAGGCUAGAGUAUGGCAGAGGGGGGUAGAAUUCCACGUGUAGCAGUGAAAUGCGUAGAGAUGUGGAGGAAUACCGAUGGCGAAGGCAGCCCCCUGGGCCAAUACUGACGCUCAUGCACGAAAGCGUGGGGAGCAAACAGGAUUAGAUACCCUGGUAGUCCACGCCCUAAACGACGUCAACUAGUUGUUGGGGAUUCAUUUCCUUAGUAACGUAGCUAACGCGUGAAGUUGACCGCCUGGGGAGUACGGUCGCAAGAUUAAAACUCAAAUGAAUUGACGGGGUCAUAGCUGUUUCCU